rnacentral:lncRNA from 1 species
UCCCCCCCGGUUAACGGCGACCCGCAGGCGCUGCUGGUGCCCGGGAAGAGCCCGUCGCGGCGGCGGCCCGGCCCGCUCGGCUCCCGCCGUUCCAGCGCCAUCGGUAUCGAGAGCAUCCAGGAGGCGCCGGCCGGCAGGGACGGCCCCGCCGCCACCCCCGAGGGCGCCUGCUCCACGCACAGCUCCCCCGAGAGCCGCCGGCACCACGACAGGUCCCGCACCGGGACGGGGGGGCACCGGGGUGGGGGGACACGGGGGGGGGGACACGGGGUCUGGAGGGCACCGGGAUGGGGCAGUGCAAGGACGGGGUGGCACCAGGGUGAGGUGACAUGGGGUCUGGAGGGCACCAGGAUGGGGUGACAUAGGGUGACGUGGGGUCUGGAGGUCCCCAGGAUGGCAUAGUGCAAGGACGAGGUGGCACGGGGACGGGGUGGCAUCAGGAUGGGGUGACACGGGGUGACGUGCGGUCUUGAAGGUCACCAGGAUGGGGUGACAUGGGGUCUUGGAGGUCACCAGGAUGNNNNNNNNNNNNNNNNNNNNNNNNNNNNNNNNNGGGUGACAUGGGGUCUGGAGGGCACCAGGAUGGGGUGACAUGGGGUCUUGGAGGUCACCAGGAUGGGGCAGUGCAAGGCUGGGGUGGCACCAAGAUGAGGUGACAUGGGGUCUGGAGGUCACCAGGAUGGGGCAGUGCAAGGAUGGGGUGGCACGGCGAUGGUGUGGCACCAGGAUGGGAUGACAUGGGGUCUGGAGGGCAUCAGGAUGAGGUGACAUAGGGGUGACAUGGGGUCUGGAGGGCACCGGGAUGGGACAGUGCAAGGCUGGGGUGGCACCAGGUUGAGGUGACAUGGGGUCUGAAGGGCACCAGGAUGGGGUGACAUAGGGGUGCAACAGGCCAGAGUGACACAGAGGGGUGACGUGGUCUGGAGGGCACUGGGAUUAGGUGGAUAGGGGAUGGGGUGGCACUGGGAUGGGGUGACAUCGGGGUGAUAUGGGGUUUGGAGGUCACCAGGAUGGGGUGACAUAGGGUGACGUGGGGUCUGGAGGUCACCAGGAUGGGGCAGUGCAAGGACGGGGUGGCACGGGGAUGGUGUGGCACCAGGAUGGGGUGACAAUGGGUGACAUGGGGUCUGGAGAACAUCAGACCAUGGUGACACCGGGAUGGGAUGUCACCAGCGUGGGGUGGCAUAGGGAUGCAAUGGGCCAGGAUGACACCAGGAUGGGGUAGCACUGGGAUGGGAUGACAGAGACUGGAGGGUACUGGGAUGGGGCAGCAAGGGGUGGCACAAGGAUGCAAUGGGACAGGGUGGCACCAGGGUGGGGUGGCUCCCUGGGGGGGUGACAUGGGGGCUGGAGGGCACUG